UGGGGAAUAUUGCACAAUGGGCGAAAGCCUGAUGCAGCGACGCCGCGUGCGGGAUGAAGGCCUUCGGGUUGUAAACCGCUUUUGAUUGGGAGCAAGCGAGAGUGAGUGUACCUUUCGAAUAAGCACCGGCUAACUACGUGCCAGCAGCCGCGGUAAUACGUAGGGUGCAAGCGUUAUCCGGAAUUAUUGGGCGUAAAGAGCUCGUAGGCGGUUUGUCGCGUCUGGUGUGAAAGUCCAUCGCUUAACGGUGGAUCUGCGCCGGGUACGGGCAGGCUAGAGUGCGACAGGGGAGACUGGAAUUCCCGGUGUAACGGUGGAAUGUGUAGAUAUCGGGAAGAACACCAAUGGCGAAGGCAGGUCUCUGGGUCGUCACUGACGCUGAGGAGCGAAAA
rnacentral:rRNA from 1 species